UACGGGGGGGGUAAGCGUUGUUCGGAAUUACUGGGCGUAAAGGGCUCGCAGGCGGCCAACUAAGUCAGACGUGAAAUCCCUCAGCUUAACUGGGGAACUGCGUCUGAUACUGGAUGGCUUGGAUUCGGGAGAGGAAUGCGGAAUUCCAGGUGUAGCGGUGAAAUGCGUAGAUAUCUGGAGGAACACCGGUGGCGAAGGCGGCAUUCUGGACCGAUAUUGACGCUGAUGAGCGAAAGCCAGGGGAGCAAACGGG
rnacentral:rRNA from 1 species